UGGGGAAUAUUGCACAAUGGAGGGAACUCUGAUGCAGCGACGCCGCGUGAACGAAGAAGGCUUUCGAGUCGUAAAGUUCUUUUAUAUGGGAAGAUAAUGACGGUACCAUAAGAAAAAGCCCCGGCUAACUACGUGCCAGCAGCCGCGGUAAUACGUAGGGGGCUAGCGUUGUCCGGAAUCACUGGGCGUAAAGGGUUCGCAGGCGGAAAUGCAAGUCAGGUGUAAAAGGCAGUAGCUUAACUACUGUAAGCAUUUGAAACUGCAUAUCUUGAGAAGAGUAGAGGUAAGUGGAAUUUUUAGUGUAGCGGUGAAAUGCGUAGAUAUUGGGAGGAACACCAGUAGCGAAGGCGGCUUUCUGGACUGCAACUGACACUGAGGCACGAAAGCGUGGGUAGCAAACAGG
rnacentral:rRNA from 1 species